rnacentral:lncRNA from 10 species
AUGUGUGGCUCAUUGUUCAAAAAUUACGAAGACUUCCAAGGCUGGUGUGGUGGUACAUGCCUGUAGUUUCUGCUACUCUGGAGGCUGAGAUGGGAGGGUCACUUGGACCAAAAAGCCACAAUGUUGGAGAGACCCACUCGGCAAGGGACAGAGGGUGGGCUCCAGCCAACAGUAUCUGAGGACCUGAAUCCUUCCAACAACCACAUGAGUAAGCACAGAAGAGUGCCCUUCUCCAGUCCAGCUUUGAGAUGACACUGCACCCCCGCCAACACUGUCAUUGCAGCCUGUGAAAGACUCCAAAAUAGGAGACCCAGCUAAACCAUGCCUGGAUUUCCAACCCAUGAAAACAAUGAGAUAAUAAAUGUUGCUUCACGCCACUGUGUUUUGGGGUAAUUUGUUGUGGUUGUUAAUUUUAUGUGUUGGCCGGGCGCAGUGGCUCACACCUGUAAUCCCAGCACUUUGGGAGGCUGAGGUGGGUGG